AUACGGUGAAACUGCGAAUGGCUCAUUAAAUCAGUUAUCGUUUAUUUGAUAGUACCUCACUACAUGGACAACUGUGGUAAUUCUAGAGCUAAUACAUGCUAAAAACCCCGACUUCGGAAGGGGUGUAUUUAUUAGAUAAAAAACCAAUGCCCUCCGGGGCUCCUUGGUGAAUCAUAAUAACUUAACGAAUCGCAUGGCCUUGAGCCGGCGAUGGUUCAUUCAAAUUUCUGCCCUAUCAACUUUCGAUGGUAGGAUAGUGGCCUACCAUGGUCUCAACGGGUAACGGGGAAUUAGGGUUCGACUCCGGAGAGGGAGCCUGAGAAACGGCUACCACAUCCAAGGAAGGCAGCAGGCGCGCAAAUUACCCAAUCCCGACACGGGGAGGUAGUGACAAUAAAUACUGAUACAGGGCUCUUUCGGGUCUUGUAAUUGGAAUGAGUACAAUUUAAAUCCCUUAACGAGGAACAAUUGGAGGGCAAGUCUGGUGCCAGCAGCCGCGGUAAUUCCAGCUCCAAUAGCGUAUAUUAAAGUUGUUGCAGUUAAAAAGCUCGUAGUUGAACCUUGGGCCUGGCUGGCCGGUCCGCCUCACCGCGUGCACUGGUCCGGCCGGGCCUUUCCUUCUGGGGAGCCGCAUGGCCUUCACUGGCCGUGUCGGGGAACCAGGACUUUUACUUUGAAAAAAUUAGAGUGUUCAAAGCAGGCCUUUGCUCGAAUACAUUAGCAUGGAAUAAUAGAAUAGGACGUGCGGUUCUAUUUUGUUGGUUUCUAGGACCGCCGUAAUGAUUAAUAGGGACAGUCGGGGGCAUCCGUAUUCAAUUGUCAGAGGUGAAAUUCUUGGAUUUAUUGAAGACGAACUACUGCGAAAGCAUUUGCCAAGGAUGUUUUCAUUAAUCAGUGAACGAAAGUUAGGGGAUCGAAGACGAUCAGAUACCGUCGUAGUCUUAACCAUAAACUAUGCCGACUAGGGAUCGGUGGGUGUUAUUAUUUUGACCCCAUCGGCACCUUACGAGAAAUCAAAGUU
rnacentral:rRNA from 1 species